GUGCCCUUUUAAGGUUGACCCAGUGCUUUAAGAGGCUAACACAGAAGGGUAAAGUAAAUCUCCAUAAAACCCAGAGAAGAGGCUGAAAAUCUCCUCUUUGGAUCCUGUCUGGAGUCACACCU
ensembl:snoRNA